rnacentral:tRNA from 2 species
AGUCAGCUAGUUAAAAUAUAACAUUUGCUUUCGACGCAGAAGUUUGCGGUUAAACCCCCCAGCUGAUAA